UACGGAGGGGGCUAGCGUUGUUCGGAAUUACUGGGCGUAAAGCGCGCGUAGGCGGCUAAGUAAGCCGGUUGUGAAAGCCCCGGGCUCAACCUGGGAAUGGCAUCCGGAACUGCCAGGCUAGAGUGCAGGAGAGGAAGGUAGAAUUCCCGGUGUAGCGGUGAAAUGCGUAGAGAUCGGGAGGAAUACCAGUGGCGAAGGCGGCCUUCUGGACUGACACUGACACUGAGGUGCGAAAGCGUGGGUAGCAAACAGG
rnacentral:misc_RNA from 1 species